ACAUGCCUACAACAUAGCAUUAAUGCACCGGAUCCCAUUAGAAAUCCACAGUUAAGCGAGUUCAAGAUAGGGUAGUAUUGGGAUGGGUGACCACCUGGGAAGUCCUAGUGUUUUACAUGCC
rfam:Picea glauca, whole genome shotgun sequence.